rnacentral:rRNA from 1 species
AACGAACGCUGGCGGCAUGCCUUACACAUGCAAGUCGAACGGAUCCUUCGGGAUUAGUGGCGGACGGGUGAGUAACACGUGGGAACGUGCCCUUUGGUUCGGAACAACUCAGGGAAACUUGAGCUAAUACCGGAUGUGCCCUUCGGGGGAAAGAGUUAUUGCCAUUGGAGCGGCCCGCCGGCUGAUUAGCUAGUUGGUGAGGUAAAGGUGCACCAAGGCGACGAUCCGUAGCUGGUCUGAGGGGUUGAUCAGCCACAUUGGGACUGAGACACGGCCCAAACUCCUACGGGAGGCAGCAGUGGGGAAUCUGCCGCAAUGGGCGAAAGCCUGACGCAGCCAUGCCGCGUGAAUGAUGAAGGUCUUCUGGUUGUAAAGCUCUUUUGUCAGGGACGAUAAUGACGGUACCUGAAGAAUAAGCCCCGGCAAACUUCGUGCCAGCCGCCGCCGUAA